GCGGCCCCUUUGAGAUCCUGCGGAGGUUUGCUGCUCGUUUUUGCGGCUCCUCCAACCGCGACGAGCUGGUGUUGCGCCCUUUCCCGCCGGGGAGUCGGACUGUGUGGCGGGCCGCCCUUCGAGUUCCAACCCCAGAGUAGCAGACGCGGUCUUGUUUAUCUGGACGCUGCAGUUCUGUUGUCUGAAUCCCAGAUCUGGGGCCUGACUCCCGAGAGAGAUUGAGGGUGCCGAGAUGAGUUUCCAGUGCUAGCAUUGCAGCUGUAUUUUGCUAAAAGCACUAAGAAUUGAGGACUUCCCGUGAACAUCUAUUAUGCAAAUGAAUGAAGAGCAGUAUUUGUGGUCCAGAGCCAGCUGCCACAUUGUGAGAGGUACCCUACAGAAAAGCCCACAUGGCAAGGAACUGAGGGAUGCCUCUAGGCAACUGUCUGCAAAGAACUGAGGCCUUCAGUGCAAUAGCCCACGAGAACCUAACUCCUGCUGACAACCAGGUGUCCAAAAGCUGGCCUUUUCAUGGAACAUGAGUGAUUUUUUCAGGGUGCCCAAAGGAAGAACCACACACCACACCCCAUUGCAUAUUCCCUGAGAGCAAGAUCUGGCUCAAGUUUGACUUCUUCUCCCUCUGUCAUUUCUACAAAGUUUCCCCAUGGGCACCUUCUCCUGGGUUCCCUUAGCCCAGAGAUGAGAAAAUGUGUAGAACAGAUAGCUCAAGAGCUGAAAUUUCUGGGUAUUUCCAAUACUUUUAUUUUAUAUUUAUUCUUGAAAAGCAGUGUGGUUAACUCUAUUUCUCCCUCACAUCUAUUUUUGUUAUCAUUACCAUGUAUUUUAAUUCAACAUAUAUUUUAACCUCAACAAGAUAUUUUCAUUGUUUAACUAGUC